GGCUCAGCGAAGUUAAAUGUUCCUGAUAGAUACACAACUGCUUAGUGAGAGACCUGGAAUAAAAUCUGCUUCCAGUUAAUCACAGUCCAUUAUUCACAUAGACUUAUCACUUCUCCCUCCCAAAUCCUUGAAAUGUUGGCAGCAGCAGAUUGGAAGGUCAUUUUGUGUAGAAAUGAAGUGGGCCCAGAGAGAUUUUUAGAGACAGACAUGUGGAGCUCUCCAUCAGGAAGGAUGGCUUGCCCUUUCAUUACCCCGAGUAAAACCCAGCAAUUAAGUAUCUGCCCAUGCUGGCAGUGCUUCAGAUGAAACACCUGAUGCUUCACUCUGAAAAAACAAGUGGACAAUCCAGGAUAACUGGAUAUUUUGAGGAAGGCUUUCCACAUGAAAGAGCUGAAAACACACACAAUAUCAACCAACCAAUGAAAGAAACAAAUCAACAAAAACAACAAGGAAAAGGAAUUCAGUGAAAUAGAGACAAUGUUGGGAACAAAGGAAAACUUUCAAAAAGCUGCCACUAAUAACUUCAGAAAUACAAGAAAAUUUGUUGCAUCUUUAGAAUAACAACAGGAAGCUUGGGAAAAAGAAACAUCAGAGCAAUGAAGAGCUCUUGGGGAAAAUAUUUUUAUUUCAUAUCCCAGAAAAUAAAUUUAAAAGUGCAUACAAUUUUGGAAAAUAACUUUGUUGAAAAACAAGAGGAAUAAUGAUGAAUAAGAAGGAAGGAAAGAAAAUUAGAAUCUCAAUCUAGGAAGCUUCACCUCUAAACAUUAGGAGUUUCAGAAAGAGAAGAUAGAGAAAAAGGAAAGGAUAAGAUAAUCAAAUGAAUAA